ACGCAGAUUCUAAGUGCCCACAGCAGAAAGGAUCCAUUUUGAACUCGAAAAACAACCUCUUCUGUUGUUGUUGUGGGUGUAUCCAUACAUAUUAGAACAAUGUGGCAUAAAGUUAACCGAUGUGCCUAAACACUUAACUCUAGGCAAUACAGAAAAUAGCUGAGGAAAUCCAUAAACACGGUUGCGAUGCAACUAAAUGCCCCAUUGUUGUGCGCUCAGAUAGAAACUACCAAGGACUUAAUGGUCAAGGGGAAACCCACAAGGGGAAAUGACAAGCAUUAUGGUACAAGAUGCAACAGACAUGAUACCCAUAACCCCCGGUUAAAGUUGCCAGCUGUGCUGAGUUCAAAGGCAGGAUCAGUUCCAAUUUGUAUGAAAAGAGUCUGGUAUGUCACAUCAGUCACUGCAGAGAUGUGGAGGUAAAGAACUGUUAUUUUUUUGUGUUAAUUCAUACUAAACAGUCUCUAUAUGUUAAACAAGUUAUUUCAAUAAA